rnacentral:rRNA from 1 species
UACGUAGGGGGCAAGCGUUGUCCGGAAUCAUUGGGCGUAAAGAGCGUGUAGGCGGCCCGAUAAGUCCGCCGUGAAAGUCCAGGGCUCAACCCUGGAAUGCCGGUGGAAACUGUCGGGCUGGAGUCCGGAAGAGGCGAGUGGAAUUCCUGGUGUAGCGGUGAAAUGCGCAGAUAUCAGGAGGAACACCAAUGGCGAAGGCAGCUCGCUGGGACGGUACUGACGCUCAUGCACGAAAGCGUGGGGAGCAAACAGG